CGAUAAAGGCAAACCUAGCGAAAGUUAGGGACGCAAAACUAUAGGGUCUUCCUUGAGAGUUCAAGAUGACAGCCAGUUACCGA
rnacentral:ncRNA from 1 species